AGAGUUUGAUCAUGGCUCAGGAUGAACGCUAGCGGCGGGCCUAAUACAUGCAAGUCGAACGGAACUACUGAUUUCGGUUGGUAGUUUAGUGGCGCACGGGUGAGUAACGCGUACACAACGUACCUAUUACCGGGGAAUAGCCUUUGGAAACGAGGAGUAAUACCCCAUAGUAUGUUUGGAAGGCAUCUUCUGAAUAUUAAAGUUACGGCGGUAAUAGAUCGGUGUGCGUAAGAUUAGCUAGUUGGUGAGGUAACGGCUCACCAAGGCGACGAUCUUUAGGGGGCGUGAGAGCGUGAUCCCCACACGGGUACUGAGACACGGACCCGACUCCUACGGGAGGCAGCAGUAAGGAAUAUUGGUCAAUGGAGGCAACUCUGAACCAGCCACGCCGCGUGGACGAUGAAGGCCCUCUGGGUUGUAAAGUUCUUUAGUCUGGGACGAAAAAAGGAGAUUUAUCUUCGACUGACGGUACCAGAAGAAUAAGCACCGGCUAACUCCGUG
rnacentral:rRNA from 1 species